CUGUGAGCGCGUGGUCCUGGUCGCGAGCACAUGGAAGUGAGCUCGAGUUGAGACGCGCCUCCGACUAUCUCCAUCGUGCAAACAUUAAUAAUAAUAAUGUUUUAAAAAAAACGGAAUAUGACCAGAAAGAUGGAGCAUCAGGAGCUGAGACACAGCAGCGGCUUUUAAAACUAAAUCUUCCUCUUAAGAUGCACGAGCAGGCGGCGGCUGCUGCUGCUGCUGCUGGGGCCACAGAAGCUCCCCGCUGAGGAUUCAAUUAACGCACAAUUGAGGAUUUUGGACUAACUAGGAUGCAAAGAUGGAAGCAGACAGUGUUGCAUUCAGUUUCACAGCAUCUUUUAGAAGCAUACACGUACACAGAUGAGUUUUAAUAGUAUCUACUUCCCCUUUCUCUGACAGGACACAGAUACACCCUGACUGGGCCCCCCUGUGGUUCAUUGAGUUUGGGAAGUACCUAGUAGUACAACUGCCACGAUUGCUCUUAAAGGGCCAGCAGGGUGUUUUAUUUACAUGAAACCAAAGGUCAUAUUACUGAACGUUUUGAACUUUUUUAACUUACAUUUAGGUUUGUUGUGUAUAAUUGAUGUGGUGAUGAGGACUUUGAUAUUUGAGACCUGGAAAUCAAGACACGACUCUAUAUGGACACAAGUGAAAAAGGGGAGGGAUUUGCUUUGCAGCCAAUCCUAAACCUAUGUAAUUUUUUUUUUAUUGCCUAUUUUCAGCAAUUUUGUAGCUCAUUUUAGGCACUUGUUAUUGUUAAAUGUUGGAAAAAGGUGCACACUUUAUGAAUAAAAUCCUCAUUGCUUUUUUUAUGUGUGGUAUCCAGUUAAUCAAGGAAGCCUAUGAAGCCACCUGAAGACUAGUGAGCGCUGCCUACUGUGACAGGGGAAAACCUUUCACUCUUCUUAUGAGCCGCUUGUACUUUUUAACAGAUCAUUUCACACCCACAAGACACCUUACUGCAGAAUUUCAGUGUUGUUGUUUUUACAUGUGAUUAACAGCUGAGUCAGUGGCAUCAAUUCCCAUCAACUAAUUUUCUGAAGAGAUACUUCAAAAUAAAUGUGAAAGGUGAUGACUUUAGGGGGAAAAUGAAUGAAACAGAGCAUGUACACCGUCAAAAAUGUUGAGAAAAACAUGCAGUAAAGCUGCUAGAUGCCGAUAGAGGUUGCAUGUUGCGACUGUUGUUGACAGAAUCGACUGCCUUAUUGGUCUUACACACCAGUGUCUGGGUUUAGUGCACCACAAACCAAAAGUGGGUUAGUUUUUCAUGUCUUGAAUCCUGAAAACACCCUAGUUAUGUAAUCUACACAUUUGCCCAAACAUUUCUGAGAAUGUUUAAAAUGAAACCGAAGGUAAAAGAAUGAAAAACCGUAAGUUUGAGAACCGUAAAGCUGAAAUGGUUAUGCAUGCACCGUUCUUCUGCACGACAGCGAAUAAAUAACGAUACAAAAUCUUUCACUCUCAGUUUCAAUCUUAAAAUUUAAUUGUCACGUUGACUUAAGUCGAUUGUGCGCCUGAAGCGGUCUGUUUACAAAUGGAGGUAUGAGGGCUGCCUGGGCAGCAGCUCCGCCUUGUGGUAAGUGGUGGACAUGGGAACCUAAUUUCAACUUUACAUAAGCUGUUGGGGGGGGAAAAAAAACAAGCAGAGAUGCUCCGUGAACUUAUUAAAGCUGUU